GAAAAAAAGAGGAAAAAAUUAGCACACUGAAAAAAAUCUGAAAAUAUAUGCAACACUUGUGGACCUUUGACCUUUACAAAGAGCCAUGAAGGUGGCUGAAGAAGGCACGGUGAAGCACUUGGAGCUUGGUCAGACAUAGAAUACAGCAAGGUCAUCCACCGUAUCCUGGGCCAUUGCCAGUCCUGACUUUUAUCUUGCCCCUGGACUUCAAAGACUUUGGAAGAGAAAGUGAGGCUGAGCACUUUGUGGAACUCAACCUCAAUAAAUCCAACUCGCCUUGAAAAUGAAGGAUGAGUAUCAGUUGCAGAACUGAAUAUCGAAAGCCAAAUGGGAAAAGACAAGUUAUGCAAAUUGGUUAGGAGCCUCAGAAAGGACUUUAAUGGAU